UCAUGGCUCAGGCUGGACACCUCCUUAGAGGUUGAUCCUGGCUCAGGGUGGAACACCUCCUUAGAGUUUGAUCAUGGGCCUGGAAGACUGACCUAACUACGGGAAACCGGGGCUAAUACCGGAUGCUUGUCUGAACCGCAUGGUUCAGACAUAAAAGGUGGCUUCGGCUACCACUUACAGAUGGACCCGCGGCGCAUUAGCUAGUUGGUGAGGUAACGGCUCACCAAGGCGACGAUGCGUAGCCGACCUGAGAGGGUGAUCGGCCACACUGGGACUGAGACACGGCCCAGACUCCUACGGGAGGCAGCAGUAGGGAAUCUUCCGCAAUGGACGAAAGUCUGACGGAGCAACGCCGCGUGAGUGAUGAAGGUUUUCGGAUCGUAAAGCUCUGUUGUUAGGGAAGAACAAGUGCCGUUCAAAUAGGGCGGCACCUUGACGGUACCUAACCAGAAAGCCACGGCUAACUACGUGCCAGCAGCCGCGGUAAUACGUAGGUGGCAAGCGUUGUCCGGGAAUUAUUGGGCGUAAAGGGCUCGCAGGCGGUUUCUUAAGUCUGAUGUGAAAGCCCCCGGCUCAACCGGGGAGGGUCAUUGGAAACUGGGGAACUUGAGUGCAGAAGAGGAGAGUGGAAUUCCACGUGUAGCGGUGAAAUGCGUAGAGAUGUGGAGGAACACCAGUGNGAAGGCGACUCUCUGGUCUGUAACUGACGCUGAGGAGCGAAAGCGUGGGGAGCGAACAGGAUUAGAUACCCCUGGUAGUCCACG
rnacentral:rRNA from 1 species